UCACACAAGAAAAAAAAAACUCUUUAACUUUUGUAUACAUAAGAAACUUAAAUAAACAAAGCCAAGAGAAAAUCAAAUUCUAAUGUGAGUCACUCCCACCUUAUCAGCAAGCAAAAGAGGAGCUAACUGAUAAGGGAAGACAUUCCAUUGAAGAAGUGAUCUACAUGAGCCACUUCAUAUUUUGCAAGCUAGUCCGCACAUGCAUUACUUCUCGCAAGGUAUGACAAAAAGAGAUGUUCCAAUCACUAUUAACAACCCCUUCUAAUGAGAGAAAUCGAAGGAUAAUGAGGAUGUAAAUCAUUACAACCAUUACUAAUUAAUCAACUCCAACGCAAUCUGAGAAUCAAAUUCACAGUACCAUUCUGAAUCCAUCAUCCCAAACCUUGUGAAGCCCAUGAUAAAUUGCCAGCAACUCAGCUUUGAGACUUGUUGUGAUGUUGCAAGAUACCGCCAAGACCUUAGCUUUCAUGAGGAUUUUCAUUGGAGCUUCCAAUGCCACAAAAAUAAACAUUUACAACAUAUUAGAACGAAAACUUUACAUAGAAUUCUUUAAGUAUCCAAAUUAUUAGAUAAAUUUUUAGAUUAUGAUAAAUAAAAACUUUAUAUGUAAAUAUAUUAAUACGUUAAGAAAGAAAAAAAUAUUUCCAUCCGAAUGCAAUUUCAAGUCAACGUAUACAAAUUUAUAAAUUAUAUAACCAAUUAUUUAUAUUUUUUUUACUAAAAUAAAAAAAAUUCAAUAAAAGUAUCAGUAACAAUUUAUAAACAAGAUAAUUAUAUUUUUAUAUAAAAACUAAAUUUAAACAUAUUUAUUUUUUUCAGGAGUUACUUAUGCAAAAGUAGGCAUAUGUGGCUAGUUUUUUUUUUCGGAGUGGAAUAUACCGGUUAAAAUACAAGUUAACGUUAAAUAUUUUUUAUAUUUUAUUCGGGAAUAUUUUUAAUUUAACUAAAGUUUCAGAAAGAAAUAUUACGCGUCAGUUAUUUAAACGGUAAUAGCAUAAUUGUUUUUGGACAGUCUACAACCAUAUUGUGACUAUAUAGCAAAAAUAUCAUGACUAUAAUUACAAUGGUCAUUUAUAAUGUUAAGGAUCUGGUAACGUAAAAAAAUCAGAAUUGUUACCGCAAUUUAAAAACCAAUUAGAAGCACGGUUUCCUUGUGUUGAAAGAAAGAGGGAGAGGAACAAACAAACGCGGUAGUCACGUGAGUUGCACGCGUGGAUGAGAAUAUAGAUAUAUUUGUUAUUUUUUAUUUUUAUAAUUUUGUUAAAUAAGAAUAGCUAGAAGGUGUUGUUUGGUUUGGGGAGCGAGAAAAGAGGAGGAAACAAUGGGCGAGGUAUCUGAAAGUACCAUGACGAAGAGGAAGAAGAAGGGACGCCCCUCUCUUUUGGAUCUUCAAAAGCGAUCUCUCAAAAAAGAACAGCAAAAUCACCACCAGCAGCGACACAAUUCAACCAACGUUGUUCCCCACGACGACGACGAGGACG
rnacentral:lncRNA from 1 species